UACAGAGGUGGCAAGCGUUGUUCGGAAUUACUGGGCGUAAAGGGCGCGUAGGCGGCCUGCUAAGUCAGACGUGAAAUCCCCCGGCUUAACCUGGGAACUGCGUCUGAUACUGGAAGGCUUGAGGAUGGGAGAGGGAUGUAGAAUUCCAGGUGUAGCGGUGAAAUGCGUAGAUAUCUGGAGGAAUACCGGUGGCGAAGGCGGCAUCCUGGACCAUUACUGACGCUGAGGCGCGAAAGCGUGGGGAGCAAACAGG
rnacentral:rRNA from 1 species